GUCUGCUCGCUCUAAAGAACAGUCUAGCCUGCCCACUGAUUAGUUUUUAAAGGCCGCGGUACCCUGACCGUGCGAAGGUAGCAUAAUAAUUAGUCUUUUAAUUGAAGACUGGAAUGAAAGGUUGGACAAGAAGCAAACUGUCUUAACUUUUAACAUUGAAAUUAACUUCUAAGUGAAAAGGCUUAGAUAAAUUUGAAGGACGACAAGACCCUAUAAAACUUUAUAUCUACAAAAAUUCCCGCCUAAUUAUUUAUGAAAACUCGGUAAUUUAUGAAGGUAUUACGUUGGGGAGACGAAAGUAUAAACCAGUAACUGCUUUUAACUUAAACAAUGAUUUUUGAACCACUGAUCCUUUUCUAGAUCACAAGAAAAAGUUACUUUAGGGAUAACAGCGUUAUUUUUUUUAAGAGUUCUUAUCGACAAAAAAGUUUGCGACCUCGAUGUUGAAUUAAAAUUACCCUAGAAUGCAGCAGUUCUAAUGGUAGGUCUGUUCGACCUUUAAAGUUUUACAUGAUUUGAGUUCAAACCGGCGCGAG
rnacentral:rRNA from 1 species